CCGUCAAUUCAUUUAAGUUUCAACCUUGCGGUCGUACUCCCCAGGCGGAGUGCUUAAUGCGUUAGCUGCGCUACAGAGAACUUAUAGCUCCCUACAGCUAGCACUCAUCGUUUACGGCGUGGACUACCAGGGUAUCUAAUCCUGUUUGCUCCCCACGCUUUCGAGCCUCAGUGUCAGUUACAGGCCAGAGAGCCGCUUUCGCCUCCGGUGUUCCUCCAUAUAUCUACGCAUUUCACCGCUACACAUGGAAUUCCACUCUCCUCUCCUGCACUCAAGUCUCCCAGUUUCCAAUGCACACAAUGGUUGAGCCACUGCCUUUUACAUCAGACUUAAGAAACCACCUGCGCUCGCUUUACGCCCAAUAAAUCCGGACAACGCUUGGGACCUACGUAUUACCGCG
rnacentral:misc_RNA from 2 species